rnacentral:rRNA from 1 species
GACGAACGCUGGCGGCGUGCCUAAUACAUGCAAGUUGAGCGCUGAAGGUUGGUACUUGUACCAACUGGAUGAGCAGCGAACGGGUGAGUAACGCGUGGGGAAUCUGCCUUUGAGCGGGGGACAACAUUUGGAAACGAAUGCUAAUACCGCAUAAAAACUUUAAACACAAGUUUUAAGUUUGAAAGAUGCAAUUGCAUCACUCAAAGAUGAUCCCGCGUUGUAUUAGCUAGUUGGUGAGGUAAAGGCUCACCAAGGCGAUGAUACAUAGCCGACCUGAGAGGGUGAUCGGCCACAGUGGGACGGAAACAGGCCCCAAACCCCUACGGGAGGAGGCAGUAGGGAGUCUUCGGAAAUGGACGAAAGUCUGACCGAGCACCGCCGGGGGAGUGAAGAAGGUUUUCGGAUCGUAAACCUCUGUUGGUAGAGAAGAACGUGGGGGGGAGUGGAAAGCUCAUCAAGUGACGGUAACUACAAAGAAAGGGACGGCUAACUACGUG